UGGCGAACGGGUGAGUAACGCGUGAGGAACCUGCCUCAAAGAGGGGGACAACAGUUGGAAACGACUCCUAAUACCGCAUAAGCCCACGACCCGGCAUCGGGAAGAGGGAAAAGGAGCAAUCCGCUUUGAGAUGGCCUCGCGUCCGAUUAGCUAGUUGGUGAGGUAACGGCCCACCAAGGCGACGAUCGGUAGCCGGACUGAGAGGUUGAACGGCCACAUUGGGACUGAGACACGGCCCAG
rnacentral:rRNA from 1 species